rnacentral:rRNA from 1 species
AAAUUCAAAGGUGAGACAUUGAAGAAUCUGCUGUGGGCCAUGGCCAGAUCUACAAACUUACCAAGAUGGAAUGAGAACAGAGAAAAAAUAAGAGAGGCUUCCAUUGAUGCUUACAAUUGGUUAGAGGGAAAGCCACCUAAUCAAUGGGUGAAAAACUUCUUCCGUGAUUUUCCAAAGUAUGAUAUUCUUUUGAACAAUAUGUCUGAGGUGUAUAAUAGUUACAUACUUGAAGCUAGAGAGCUUUGUGUUGUGUCAAUGUUGGAGUGCAUCCUUGCAAAGAUUUCACAAAGGCAUGCAAGCAAACACAGAGAAGCAGUUGAGAAAUGGACAGGAAGAAUUUGCCCAAAAAUUAGGAAGAAGCUUGAGAAGAAUGCAGAAUUUUCUGCCAAUUGUUUUGCAACAAAUGCUGGCAAUGGUAUAUUCAAUGUGCAGUCUGGGCCCAACUCAUAUAUUGUUGGCAUCAUAGCAAGGACUUGUAAUUGCAAAAGG